AUGCACGCUGGCGGCGUGCCUCAUACCUGCAAGUCGAGCGCACAGAUAAGGAGCUUGCUCCUUUGACGUUAGCGGCGGACGGGUGAGUAACACGUGGGUAACCUACCUAUAAGACUGGGAUAACUUCGGGAAACCGGAGCUAAUACCGGAUAACAUUUGGAACCGCAUGGUUCUAAAGUGAAAGAUGGUUUUGCUAUCACUUAUAGAUGGACCCGCGCCGUAUUAGCUAGUUGGUAAGGUAACGGCUUACCAAGGCGACGAUACGUAGCCGACCUGAGAGGGUGAUCGGCCACACUGGAACUGAGACACGGUCCAGACUCCUACGGGAGGCAGCAGUAGGGAAUCUUCCGCAAUGGGCGAAAGCCUGACGGAGCAACGCCGCGUGAGUGAUGAAGGGUUUCGGCUCGUAAAACUCUGUUAUUAGGGAAGAACAAACGUGUAAGUAACUGUGCACGUCUUGACGGUACCUAAUCAGAAAGCCACGGCUAACUACGUG
rnacentral:rRNA from 1 species